rnacentral:rRNA from 1 species
GACGAACGCUGGCGGCGUGCCUAAUACAUGCAAGUCGAACGCAGUGGGGACGGGUGAGUAACACGUGGGUAACCUCCCAUCAGAGGGGAUAACACUUGGACACAGGUGCUAAACCGAUACUGAUGGAUGGACCCCCGGUGCAUUAGCUAGUUGGCGAGGUAACGGCUCACCAAGGCCACGAUGCAUAGACGACCUGAGAGGGUGAUCGGCCACACUGGGACUGAGACACGGCCCAGAGUCCUACGGGAGGCAGCAGUAGGGAAUCUUCGGCAAUGGACGAAAGUCUGACCGAGCAACGCCGCGUGAGUGAAGACGGUUUUCGGAUCGUAAAACUCUGUUGCAGAGGAAGCGGUACUCUGCGAGAAAGCCACGGCUAACUACGUGCCAGCAGCCGCGGUAAUUC